rnacentral:rRNA from 1 species
ACUCAAAGGAAUUGACGGGGGCCCGCACAAGCGGUGGAUCAUGUGGUUUAAUUCGAAGCAACGCGAAGAACCUUACCUGGGUUUGACAUCUCUCGCUAUGGGUAGAGAUAUCCAGUUGGUAGCAAUACCACGAGAAGACAGGUGCUGCAUGGCUGUCGUCAGCUCGUGUGGUGACAUGUUGGGUUAAGUCCCGCAACGAGCGCAACCCUUGUCCUUAGUUGCCAGCAUUCAGUUGGGCUCUCUAAGGAGACUGCCGUGGUGAACACGGAGGAAGGUGGGGAUGACGUCAAGUCCUCAUGGCCUUUAUAUCCAGGGCGACACACGUGAUACAAUGGACGGUACAGAGGGAAGCGAAGCCGCGAGGUGGAGCCAAUCUCAAAAAGCCGUUCUCAGUUCGGAUUGGAGUCUGCAACUCGACUCCAUGAAGUUGGAAUCGCUAGUAAUCGCGGAUCAGCACGCCGCGGUGAAUACGUUCCCGGGCCUUGUACACACCGCCCGU